AGAGUUUGAUCCUGGCUCAGAAUGAACGCUGGCGGCGUGCUUAACACAUGCAAGUCGAACGAGAAAGGGGGAUUCGUCCCCCGAGUAAAGUGGCGCACGGGUGAGUAACGCGUAGGUAACCUGCCCAUGUGUUCGGGAUAACACUUCGAAAGGGGUGCUAAUACCGGAUGCGAUCGGAGGCCGAGAGGUUUCCGAUGAAAGUCUGCCACUCUAUAGAAGCAGACGCACAUGGAGGGGCCUGCGUCCUAUCAGCUAGUUGGUGGGGUAACGGCCUACCAAGGCGACGACGGGUAGCUGGUCUGAGAGGAUGAUCAGCCACACUGGCACUGGAACACGGGCCAGACUCCUACGGGAGGCAGCAGUGAGGAAUUUUGCGCAAUGGCCGCAAGGCUGACGCAGCAACGCCGCGUGGGUGAUGAAGGCCUUCGGGUCGUAAAGCCCUGUCAGGUGGGAAGAACAGCAUUUUCUCGAAUAGGGGGGAUGUUUGACGGUACCACCAGAGGAAGCACCGGCUAACUCCGUGCCAGCAGCCGCGGUAAUACGGAGGGUGCGAGCGUUAUUCGGAAUUACUGGGCGUAAAGCGCGUGCAGGCGGGAAGGUAAGUCUGAUGUGAAAGCCCCGGGCUCAACCCGGGAAGUGCAUUGGAAACUGCUUUUCUUGAGUACUGGAGAGGAAGGGGGAAUUCCCGGUGUAGAGGUGAAAUUCGUAGAGAUCGGGAGGAAUACCAGUGGCGAAGGCGCCCUUCUGGACGGUUACUGACGCUGAGACGCGAAAGCGUGGGGAGCAAACAGGAUUAGAUACCCUGGUAGUCCACGCCGUAAACGAUGAGAACUAGGUGUAGCGGGUACUCAUUCCUGCUGUGCCGUAGCUAACGCGUUAAGUUCUCCGCCUGGGGAUUACGGUCGCAAGACUAAAACUCAAA
rnacentral:rRNA from 1 species